AAUUAAAGAACGGGGAGCCAAACUGGAAGCUGAGAGGAUGAGCAAUCAUCGACCCACUACCUGAUCCUGGUAAUGCAGGCGUAGGUAAAAUAAAAAGACCUUAA
rnacentral:ncRNA from 1 species